CUGCCGCGGAAGCGCAAGGGCGCGCGCUCCCUCGCCGGCUCCCUCCACGACGCCUCCGCGGACCGCAAGCGGACCUGCCGGGAGCGGAAGCCGCGCCCCGACAAGAAGAAAAAGAAGCCCUCCACCGCCGGCGAUGACGCCGCCACCGCCUCCGGCCGGGGCGGCGUGGUCAUGACGGCGCCGCCGGCCAGCGGCCGGGCCGCCCCGGACAGCCCCGGAAGGGGGCUCAAGCGCAAGGUCGGCUGCAUCGAGUCCGCCACCCGGAUAGGCCGCAAGAAGCGCCUCGAGGCCGAGUACGAGCUCGGCGACGAGAUCGGCCAGGGCAAGUUCGGCUCCGUCCGGAUCUGCCGCGCCAAGGCCGGCGGCGAGGAGUUCGCCUGCAAGGCGCUCCCCAAGAACGGCGAGGAGACGGUCCACCGCGAGGUCGAGAUCAUGCAGCACCUCUCCGGCCACCCCGGCGUCGUCACGCUCAAGGCCGUCUUCGAGGACGCCGACAAGUUCUACCUCGUCAUGGAGCUCUGCAGCGGCGGCCGCUUGCUCGACGAGAUGGCCAGGGACGGCACCUUCUCCGAGCAGCGAGCCGCCCUUGUCAUCAAGGAUCUAAUGUCGGUCGUCAAGUACUGCCAUGAAAUGGGCGUCAUCCACAGGGACAUUAAGCCGGAGAAUAUUUUGCUCACCAAGACUGGGAAGAUGAAACUAGCAGAUUUUGGAUUGGCAGCACGAGUUACUAACGGUCAGAAAUUGUCUGGCGUUGCUGGGAGCCCAGCCUAUGUGGCGCCUGAGGUGUUGUCAGGAAGCUAUUCUGAGAAAGUAGACAUAUGGGGUGCUGGGGUGCUCCUCCAUGUACUACUGCUUGGUUCACUUCCAUUUCAAGGGGGCUCUCUGGAAGCUGUCUUUGAAGCUAUAAAGACAGUUGAGCUUGAUUUCAACAGCGGUCCAUGGGAAUCAAUGUCAGUUCUUGGACGGGAUCUUAUAAGUCGAAUGUUAGAUCGAGAUGUCUCUUCUAGAAUAACUGCUGAUCAAGUUCUUUGUCAUCCAUGGGUGUUGUUCUACACGGAAUGUACCCUGAAGGCUGUAACACCUAAUGUCACUAACAAGAUUGUAGCACCCAAAAUUACAUGGGACAGAAUUAGAUCACAUUGUGAGUCGUCAGCUUCAGAUUCGUCUAGCCAGAGGUCGGAGGACCAGGAUGAAUGUGGCAUAGUCGACGCACUGACAGCGGCAAUAACACAUGUUAGAAUAUCGGAGCCGAAAAGGACCCGGCUUUGCAGCCCCGGCAUUCCCAUACAGCAGGAGUGCUCCUCAAACAUAAAGAGCAACCUGUGUACGGCGUUCUGACAUGACCCCAAUGUAUAGCCCCUUGUGUGUUGGUCUGAUGUCAGUGAUGGCUCGCCCUGCUGGUUGUCUCUGUGCUGAGGAUAAUAACUCGGGUUUUCCUGUCAGAGCAAGCAAGCGUUCGACAUGGUGAUGCUGUAGAUUGCGGUGAUGGCUGAUGAACCCGACAUGGUAGCUGAUGCUGUAAAUUUUGUAAAUAGAAUGAUCCAUGUAGCUAAUUUAUAUCUUGAGAGAGUUGAGAAUAAUUUCAGUCUAUGAUGAACAUAGUGCGCGCCAUCAUCCUUGUUCCAUUUUUUGUUUCUUCCUGUUCCUCCUAGUCUAUUGAGAUCAGAUUUUUGCACGGAUUUCCUGCAUUGGAUUUUUUUUUUGUUACUAGAUCUCUUUCGCCCUGAAUGUAUUUUCCAGAAGCUGUACUCUUAAUCUGAUACUUGUGAUUUAAGAUAUGGGAGGACUCAUUUUGUCCAUUUGGG
rnacentral:rRNA from 1 species